GGGGCUGUGGCCUAGUCUGGAAGGGCAGCUGGCUCCAGACCAGCCGAUCGUGGGUUCAAAUCCUACCGGCCCCA
rnacentral:ncRNA from 15 species